AAUGAACGCUGGCGGCGUGCCUAACACAUGCAAGUCGUACGAGAAAGGGGCUUCGGCCCUGAGUAGAGUGGCGCACGGGUGAGUAACGCGUGGGUAAUCUGCCCUUGGAUUUGGAAUAACUCCGCGAAAGUGGAGCUAAUACCGGAUAGUCUGGCUUUUUAACGAAGUCGGUAAAGGAUGCCUCUGCAUAUGCAUUCGUCCGAGGAUGAGCCCGCGUCUCAUUAGCUAGUUGGUAGGGUAAUGGUCUACCAAGGCAACGAUGAGUAGCUGGUCAGAGAGGAUGAUCAGCCACACUGGGACUGAAACACGGUCCGGACGCCUGCGGGAGGCAGCAGUGGGGAAUAUUGCGCAAUGGGCGAAAGCCGGACGUAGCAACGCCGUGUGAGGGAUGAAGGCUUUCGGGUCGUAAACCUCUGUCAGAAGGGAAGAACGGGCAUUGGUCUAAUAGGCCUUUGUUUUGACGGUACCUUCAGAGGAAGCACCGGCUAACUCCGUGCCAGCCGCCGCCGUAA
rnacentral:rRNA from 1 species